ACUCAAAGGAAUUGACGGGGGUCCGCACAAGCGGUGGAACAUGUGGUUUAAUUCGACACUACGCGAGGAACCUUACCUAGGUUUGACAUGCACAUGACAGUCGUAGAAAUACGAUCUUUCGGGCUUCGGUCCGAACGCGUGCACAGGUGCUGCAUGGCUGUCGUCAGCUCGUGUCGUGAGAUGUUGGGUUAAGUCCUCUAACGAGCGCAACCCUUGCUGUCAGUUGCAACGUAUCUUCGGAUAUGGCACUCUGAUGGGACUGCCUGGGAAACCAGGAGGAAGGUGGGGACGACGUCAAGUCAUCAUGGCCUUUAUGUCUAGGGCGACACACGUGUUACAAUGGCUGCUACAAAGGGUUGCCAACCCGUAAGGGGGAGCUAAUCCCGAAAAGCAGUCUAAGUUCGGAUUGAGGUCUGCAACCCGACCUCAUGAAGCUGAAAUCGCUAGUAAUCGCGUAUCAGAACGGCGCGGUGAAUACGUUCUCGGGCCUUGUACACACCGCCCGU
rnacentral:rRNA from 1 species